UUAUUUAAUAGAAUUCGCUAAACAGAUGAAUAGUUAUACAGUGCAUAAGGAUUUAUGUAGGCUCUAUGUAACGUUGCGUAAAUUCCUAUUUAUAAACAGUUCUGCUAUACAUUUUAGUUAUACAAUGCUUAUGUCAAAAAAAGUACCAAAAUGGAGCAAUCUAUUCCAUUUAUCUGUCUAUCAAAUCAGCUGUUUGUCAUAACAAACAAAAUAUAGAAAUUUGUGUUGUGCUUUUGUUGAAAAUGGAAUCGAAAACAAAAAGGUCUCGUACCCCGAAUUGGGAUUCGUCCGAUAAAAUACUCCUUCGACAGCUAAUAGAGGACAAAAUUCAAAUAAUCGAAAACAAAAAUGUUGACACCAACACAUCCCGCAUGAAACGAGAUGCCUGGCGUGAAAUAACCGAUAGUUUCAACGGUUUAAGCGCAACAAUGAGGGAAACAUCUCAAAUGCUUGAAGAUGCUUGAGAUGGAAAGGAGACACAAAGAAGAAAUGCACCAGCUCAAAAUGAAAAAAUUGGAAGAGCACUUUUCUCUGUAGUGAUAUUUUUGUAUUCGUGAAUUUGUUUUUGUUUUUUAUAAGUGUUCUUUUUGUUUCAUGUUUUUCUUU